rnacentral:rRNA from 1 species
GACGAACGCUGGCGGCAUGCCUAAUACAUGCAAGUCGAGCGAACAGAUGAAGUGCUUGCACUUCUGACGUUAGCGGCGAACGGGUGAGUAACACGUAAGGAAUCUACCUAUAAGCGGGGGAUAACAUUCGGAAACGGGUGCUAAUACCGCAUAAUAUCUUCUUCCGCAUGGAAGAAGAUUGAAAGACGGCUCUGCUGUCACUUAUAGAUGACCUUGCGGUGCAUUAGUUAGUUGGUGGGGUAAUGGCCUACCAAGACGAUGAUGCAUAGCCGACCUGUGAGGGUGAUGGGCCACAUUGGGACGGAGAAACGGCCCAAACUCCUACGGGAGGCGGCAGUAGGGAAUCUUCCGCAAUGGGCGAAAGCCUGACGGGGCAAUGCCGCGUGAGUGAAGAAGGCCUUCGGGUCGUAAAACUCUGUUAUAAGAGAAGAACAAAUUGUAGAGUAACUGCUACAGUCUUGACGGUAUCUUAUCAGAAAGCCACGGCUAACUACGUGCCAGCCGCCGCCGUAA